rnacentral:rRNA from 1 species
UACGAAGGGGGCUAGCGUUGCUCGGAAUCACUGGGCGUAAAGGGCGCGUAGGCGGCCGAUUAAGUCGGGGGUGAAAGCCUGUGGCUCAACCACAGAAUUGCCUUCGAUACUGGUUGGCUUGAGACCGGAAGAGGACAGCGGAACUGCGAGUGUAGAGGUGAAAUUCGUAGAUAUUCGCAAGAACACCAGUGGCGAAGGCGGCUGUCUGGUCCGGUUCUGACGCUGAGGCGCGAAAGCGUGGGGAGCAAACAGGAUUAGAUACCCUGGUAGUCCACGCCGUAAACAAUGAAUGCCAGCCGUUGGCCUGCUUGCAGGUCAGUGGCGCCGCUAACGCAUUAAGCAUUCCGCCUGGGGAGUACGGUCGCAAGAUUAAAACUC